UCCAUCUCAUAUCAUGCAUGCAGUUGAUGGAUGGUCCAGUUGUUUGGAUGAGAUGAAAGACAUUUCAGAUCAGUGAGAAGGUGAUAGAUCUCUUGUGUACCCUGCAGGACCAUCACGGAGGCCUUGUGUCAUAGUUCAACUGGCAGUAUUUGUAUUCUUCCUUGGAGGAUAAACAUUGAGUUCAGCAGCCUGAAAACACUGUCUCAUUGAAUUUAGUCUGCACAGUGGCCUCAGAUGGUGGGUAUGGUAUUUUUGGCCAUGGAGAGCCAGACACUUUAAACAAGAUCAGAGAUACUCGAGGAAUCCAGGACUCAAGCUCUGCUCAAGAUAAAAAUAAGAAAGACUAUUGCCCGGGGCUGAGAACUGACUCUUCCUCAUACCUGUGGACACAAC